GGACUACCAGGGUUUCUAAUCCCGUUUGCUCCCCUGGCUUUCGUGCCUCAGCGUCAGGAAAUGUCCAGAGACUCGCCUUCGCCACUGGUGUUCCACUUGAUAUCUACGCAUUUCACUGCUACACCAAGUAUUCCAGUCUCCCCUCCAUUCCUCGAGCAGGAUAGUAUCCAACGCAGUUUCCGGGUUGAGCCCGGAGAUUUCACGUCAGACUUACCCUGCCGCCUACGCACCCUUUACGCCCAGUGAAUCCGAACAACGCUUGGGACCUCUGUAUUACCGCGGCUGCUGGCAC
rnacentral:rRNA from 1 species